CUAGAUUGUCAUGGGGGCAGCCUGAUCCAGCCUGCCGCGUGUGUGAUGAAGGCCUUCGGGUUGUAAAGCCCUUUUGGUCGGGACGAUGAUGACGGUACCCAGAGAAUAAGCCCCGGCUAACUUCGUGCCAGCAGCCGCGGUAAUAAUCCGUGCCAGCAGCCGCGGUAAUAGA
rnacentral:rRNA from 1 species